CCUCACACACGAGAUCUUUCUCUCCCCCAAAAUUUCUUCCCUGCCAUUCACGUGUUGCUGUCGACUCCUUCACUGCCUAGAUCCGAACGCCGCUGCCGCCUCCCUCACUGUCCAGACCCGACCUCGUCGCUGCUCGCCCAGCCAGCUUCUCCACCGCCCGUCGCACCGCUCGCCUAGCAGGAAAGCCGUCUAAGUAGCCGUCGAUCGUCUUCCAGCCGUCAAAUCUGUAGUGCAGCAUCAGAUUGGAUACCUAGCCACCCAGCCACGCAGGCUUCUUCUGGCCACUACUUGUCGCACUGUCGUCGGAGACCACACGCCGCCAGACUUAUCUCUUUCGUUCGCCACCGUUUUGUUGAUUUUGAGUGUUGAGACUGGUUGGAAUCAAAAUUUGGGAGGAUUUUGAGGUGGCCCAUCAAGUUUGAAGUUUAAGACCAAUUUGGGCGGAAAAUUUGUUAAGGUGUCGCUUCAAGGCUUUGCUUGGCAAGGAGGGGAUAAGCUUGCUUGAACUAAUUUGGAUUUACUUUAAGAUUGUAACCUUGAAGAAUCAAAAGCAGCAACGGGAGAAGAAGAUGAAGCAGCAGGAUAGAGGAAGAAGAAGAAAAAGAGAAAAAAAAAUGAAGCAACAACGACGGGAGAAGAAAAUGAACCAACAGAUGAGGGAGAAGCCGGCAAGAUAGGGGGCAAUAAUUGGUUAUCGUGUAGUAUCUAAGGAUUGGUUGCCGUUGGAAGAAGAAGACGUGGGAAGACACAGGUAUCAGAUGAAUUUUGGAUAAUCCGAUUAAUUGUUGGGGGGGUCACGAUCUUUUGUAUGGGCUGGGAUAUUUUCAGUAUUUCACAUGUUGAGCUGGGCUUUCUUCCAUCCGUUUUGAGUUCUUUUUGCAUUUUUCUAUUGAUGGUAAAUAAUUUGAACUUUUUUAUUACA